rnacentral:misc_RNA from 1 species
AAAGUCGUAACAAGGUUUCCGUAGGUGAACCUGCGGAAGGAUCAUUACAGAGUUAGGGUCUUCACAGGCCCGAUCUCCCAACCCUUUGUUUAUUUAACCUUUUGUUGCUUCGGCGGGCCCGUCCUCUCACGAGGACCGCCGGAGGAUUUGUCGAGAGACGUCCUCUGGUCCGCGCCCGCCGGUGGCCAACCACUUAAACUCUGAAUGAAUCGUGUCUAUUCUAAGUCAUUGACAAAAUACAAAAAGCAAAACUUUCAACAACGGAUCUCUUGGUUCUG